CUGCUAUAUGUAUAUUCCCAUAUUCUGUUUGUUGGAAGGUCAUUCACUGUUGUCCACAAACUUUACCUCAAGAGGGACCCUGAUGUUCUACUGCUGAGAUGCCAGGGAAUCACUGCUUCAUCUCACAAAAGCGAACGCAAAGACAGCUGGAGCAGUAUCUACAUCACACCUGAAUAAGAGGCUUCCUCCUGGUGAGCCUGAAAUACCACAAGGCGCACGUGUCAUUGGCACUGGAGCGUGUGGGUGUAAUCAUACUGAAAUGAAGCAAGAACUUAAGGCAUGUCAGCUGCAUUCACAACAAGCAGGAUAACAUCCUCCUCCACCAGUGACCCAAAAGAAACCCGGUAGCUGCCUCUCUUCUCAAGGAAGAAACUUUCAAAACCACGUUUUUACAAUUGCAAUAAAAGAAAGCAAACUUUUACUGUACAAAGAUAUAUCAGAGUUGUUCUAAGAUUAUAUUAUCCCUCCUCUUAGCAGAUGUGAACUAAUUAUUGAUUAGGAAUGUCCAAUAAUAAUGGAUAGAUCCACAUGCAAAACAUCUACAGACCCAACUGAAAAUGUAAUUCUGGAUUUUGCCACAAGUCAAUGGUUUGGAUCGUGUUUAAAGAGUCAUAGUCACGUCCAUAAAUCCUCCUGCAAAGAAUUAAAUCAAUAACCCACUGAUGAUGAAUCUGAUUUCUGUGACUGCUGGUAUCAGCAACUGG